UAAGGAAUAUUGGUCAAUGGACGCAAGUCUGAACCAGCCAUGCCGCGUGAAGGAUGAAGGUCCUCUGGAUUGUAAACUUCUUUUAUCUGGGACGAAAACGGGAUUUUUAUCUCAAUUGACGGUACCAGAGGAAUAAGCACCGGCUAACUCCGUGCCAGCAGCCGCGGUAAUACGGAGGGUGCGAGCGUUAUCCGGAUUUACUGGGUUUAAAGGGUGCGUAGGUGGGCUUAUAAGUCAGUGGUGAAAUCUCCGAGCUUAACUUGGAAACUGCCGUUGAUACUAUAGGUCUUGAAUUAUCUGGAGGUAAGCGGAAUAUGUCAUGUAGCGGUGAAAUGCUUAGAUAUAACAUAGAACACCAAUUGCGAAGGCAGCUUACUACAUAUAAAUUGACGCUGAGGCACGAAAGCGUGGGGAUCAAAC
rnacentral:rRNA from 1 species